UUGGAUGUUAUGAUAUAGUUUGACUCUAAACAAGCUAGGUGGGAGCUUGGAAAGGAACGGGUCAAACGAAUGAUGGAUGCGAAGGAUGUUUGCGCGGACGCGAGGGUAAAACGGCUUAUGGAAUUUACGUGGCUAUGAAUCAGCAAAUUAUUAAGGCAAGGUAUUAAAACGGGUCAAUACUUUGACCCGCGCCAGGUACAUUUUGGAUGCCGGAAGACGAUCAAGCUCGACGAAGGACCGAACACGAUAUAGAUACAUGCUUACGCACUCUAACACAUUGCAAAU